UUCAAUGCAUUUGUGCUGUGUCAGGUGAUUCUCUUGCUCUUAUAAAUUAGCUUAGUUAAAAUGACAAUUUAAGGUUUCUUUUGUUGACUGUCAGUUCUCACACUAAGAUACAGAUUGUUUUAGAGCUUCUGCUUUCUCUCUCUCUCUGCAAUGAAUUAUGUAAAUUUGUUACUUUUGGGUUAUUGGGUGCAAGGGUGAGCAUUUAGUCAACUGAACCAAAUUCCAACUAUUCCAACCAACUGAAUUUUAUGGCACUUUUAAAAUACUAACUAGGCCGAACUGAAAAUUUGAUGGAAAUUUGAUUAUAGCUGGA
rnacentral:misc_RNA from 1 species